CAGUCGCGCGGUAAUACGUAGGUGGCAAGCGUUGUCCGGAAUUAUUGGGCGUAAAGGGCUCGCAGGCGGUUUCUUAAGUCUGAUGUGAAAGCCCCCGGCUCAACCGGGGAGGUUCAUUGGAAACUGGGAAACUUGAGUGCAGAAGAGGAGAGUGGAAUUCCACGUGUAGCGGUGAAAUGCGUAGAGAUGUGGAGGAACACCAGUGGCGAAGGCGACUCUCUGGUCUGUAACUGACGCUGAGGAGCGAAAGCGUGGGGAGCGAACAGGAUUAGAUACCCCCGUAGUCCCUGUCUCUUAUACA
rnacentral:rRNA from 1 species